UCAAGCAGCAUACCACCCUGCAUCCCACUGCUGGCUUGCCUCAGAAGCUAAACAGGGUUGUCCUGGAUGGGAGACCAGAUGCUGCUGGAA
rnacentral:rRNA from 1 species